CUUAAUUUUCUUUGGUCUCUUCUAAAAGAAAAAUUACCUGUAAAUAUUAUUCUUCAUGGUCGUUUUCCUAAUUUCUCCGGAAUGCAAAUUUUGUGGUCAUCAAGAAACUUUACAGCACUUGUUUUUUCCAUGUCACAGGUCUGCGGCCCUUUGGGUUCAUUCACCCGUUCGGCUGCGCUCAACUAUGCUCCGAAAUUCUAAAAUCCUAGACUGUUGGUCUGAGAUUUGUGAUCAGUUGAAGCUUUGGAAUGGGGAUUCUAACUAUAUUCAAAUGACAGCUUUCAUCUUGUGGCAUAUUUGGGAGAGUAGGAA
rnacentral:misc_RNA from 1 species